GGGCUUUUGGCAUUGUUUUCGCGGUAAUCUCUUCAUCUCCUUCCUUUGAUUUCUGCUUUUCAAUUGUUUGUUCUUAUUAUGUUGGAUUGGAGAGACAGAGGAGAGAAUCAGAAAUAAUUCAUUAUUUCUUGUUUUCACAAAUCAAUGCUUAUUAGCAGUUAUCCUGUAUUGGGAAUUUGAAGAUUUGCCUUGUGUUUAUGUUUAGAACUUAUGCAUAUUGAUUUACAAAUAAAUAUUAUUCAGAAUAGUGAAAUAAGAAUAACAAUUUCUAUUUGAUGUGAAUUCAAUUAAAUUCCAUAAACCUGGAAUCUAUUUGGAUAAGACUAUAAUUGCUAUAUUUAUUGCAGCCACAUGAUACUACUGUUCUUGUUAUGAAAGAUGAAGAAUUCCUUUCUUUUUAUAGAAUACAAGAAAAAAUGGAAAUAAAAGAGGGAUGAGGGUGCCUAGCUUGACUUGGUUGAAAGCAUAUUACUCACUCAAGGUUCGAGUCCCACUUCCCCAAAAAAGGGAUGAUGGUGGGAGCUUUUAGAACUUGGAAAACUAUCCUCACUUGACUUCUUUCCUAGUGAGGCUUGUGGUAGCUGAUACCUGAUAUGCCCUUUUAUGUAAUAUUUUUUGGUGUUGCAUAAAAAAUUUUUAAAAGCUCCUCUAUGAAACAGGAACUUAAUCACUGAACUACUAGGCCAAUGAUGAGAAGUCGUAUUGUUGUGUUGAUAGUUAAAAAUGUUUGAGACAUGUUGUGAAAGCUAGCUGGAUAGUGUAGUUUCUAGAUUCAAAUGUUACCUAUUAUUUCUGCUGCUUUUGGUGGUUCAGAAAUAGUUUUUCUAUGAUUCUUAAAUCUUAAGGCUGAUAUGUUCUACACAUCUUUUGACAGCUAAUUGCAUGUGGAAUUGCUGUGGCUACAUACAAUGAAGGAGCAACAGAUUUUAAGGAGACUCCUGCAUACAAAGAGUCAAUCCAAUCUCGAGAGCUUUUAGAAGAACCUGAAGCAUCUAAUUCUGAUGUGUUUGAAUCCAAUCCAACUGAGGUAGCGCCUAGUUUGGACUAGUUUCUUGAAAAAAAUGUGAAGAAAAGCCUUGGCAGUAAUCAUGGCAAAAACAAAUCCUAAGAAAAGUAUUGUCCUUGGUUGAUAAGGUAAUGCUUCCAUGCUGUAACAUGUCAAACAUACAGAAGAUUUGUUAGUAUGAAUUCAGUUUACUAGCGAGUUUGAAAUGUUAGGCUAUUUGAUUACUGAUGAUUUUCAUAGUCUAAGUUUCUGUUAUGUAAAUCUUGCGGAUUGCUAGUUACUUUGAAAGAGCUAUUCAAAUGGAAAUCAACUUCAUUUGGUAUAUAGGCAGGGGUUCAACCUCUGAUUCUGGAAUGGGAUAGAUAAUCAUGUGGGAACACAUAUCAUCUGGGGAAUUAAGAGAAGUGCAUUUGGAAAGUAGUUGAACACUUUCAUGAGUAAGCUUGGGCGCAGUCUGGUUUUGGGCUGGAACCAGAACUGUACCGGCAGUUCCAGUCCUAAGGGUUUGGGACCCGGGACUGGUCCAACCAAAGGGUUCUCCUCAGUCCCAGUCCCAGUUCAGUUUGAUCCAUUUCAUCUGAUGGUUGAUUUUGCUUUUUAUAAAAAGAGAAAAUUCCAGGUUUUGACUUGGAACCAGGCUGAAAUGGUUAAAAUGGGUCUGUUCAAGAUGGUUCUGGUUAAGUCCUAUUUUGACCAGUUUUGGUCUGAUUUUGGUCCAGUUUGACUGGUCCGUUCCUGUCUAAACCUGGACUGGGCCCAUGUCUAUUCGGAAGAUUCAAAUUGAAUACAUAUGCAUGACUGACUUUCUGUUAUGUGUUUUAUUUAAUUCCUUCCGAUCUGAUACAUAUGUUCUCAAGUAUUGAGGUAUCUUUGGCAGUUUUCAGGGUUAAGGAUUCUGAUAUAGGUAAAAAUAUCUGCAAGAAACUGUUAAAUACUCUUCUAAAUCAGUAGAAGGGUAAUGCGUAGCAGCAGAAAACAAAUGUAGUGAAGGAACAUCAAAGCCAGUUUAUAAUGACUAAUGCUGAUUCUAAAUACUAGACUAUGUAAGUAUACCAAUGCAGGAUAAACAACCAUCAAAAGCUACAACUUGCUCAUAAUUAGAAACACUGUAUUGCUUUUGUAAGAAGAUGUUACAUAACAGCCUGCCAACCAAGUGAAACAGAGGAAUAGGGAGAGAAAGUGAGAGAAAUAUAUGAGAAAAGAGAUAGAUUUGAUGAGAAGAGAAGAGAAUAUUC
rnacentral:misc_RNA from 1 species